UCGCAUUUGCAGCAGGUGGACUAAAAUUGGAACAAUACAGAGAAGAUCGGCAUUUUCCCUCUGCACAAAGAUGACACACAAAUUCAUGAAAGUGAAAAAAGGUGU